rnacentral:rRNA from 1 species
GACGAACCGUCCGAACGUUAUCCGGAAUUACUGGGCUUAAAGGGUGCGUAGGCGGUGCUGUAAGUCGGGUGUGAAAUCCCACAGCUCAACUGUGGAACUGCGCCCGAUACUGCAGUGCUAGAGGGAGACAGAGGUAAGCGGAACUGAUGGUGGAGCGGUGAAAUGCGUUGAUAUCAUCAGGAACACCGGUGGCGAAAGCGGCUUACUGGGUCUCUUCUGACGCUGAGGCACGAAAGCUAGGGUAGCGAACGGGAUUAGAUACCCCGGUAGU